UAGGGAAUCUUCGGCAAUGGGGGGAACCCUGACCGAGCAACGCCGCGUGAGUGAAGAAGGUUUUCGGAUCGUAAAGCUCUGUUGUUAAGGAAGAACGAGUGUGAGAAUGGAAAGUUCAUACUGUGACGGUACUUAACCAGAAAGGGACGGCUAACUACGUGCCAGCAGCCGCGGUAAUACGUAGGUCCCGAGCGUUGUCCGGAUUUAUUGGGCGUAAAGCGAGCGCAGGCGGUCAAUUAAGUCUGAUGUGAAAGCCCCCGGCUCAACCGGGGAGGGUCAUUGGAAACUGGUUGACUUGAGUGCAGAAGAGGAAAGUGGAAUUCCCAGUGUAACGGUGAAAUGCGUAGAUAUUGGGAGGAACACCAGUAGCGAAGGCGGCUUUCUGGACUGCAACUGACACUGAGGCACGAAAGCGUGGGUAGCAAACAGG
rnacentral:rRNA from 1 species